rnacentral:RNase_P_RNA from 2 species
AUUUCUGCACUAGGCAGUCGCUGGCCGCAAGGCUAGAGGAAAGUCCGGACACAUACGUCGCAAGACGUAGGAUGGUAGCGGGUAACGCCCGCCGGGGUAAUCCCAGGGAUGCGAACAGAGACGCUGUUUUUCGAGAGAAGAACAGGCGCUUUACGAAAGUAAGGCGUAGUCCCGCCCUUUCUUCGGAAAGAGCGGGAGUGCAACGGCUAAAAUCCUACCUAUGUGCAAGGCCGAGCCGUUGGCGGCUUCCAACAUCUAACUUCUAACUUCCAACAGAAUGCGGAUGCAUUUUCGUUGUAUGUUGGCGGUUGGUAGUUGGGAGUUGCGUAGCGGAGAGCCGCUUGAGGUGUUUGGUAACGAACAUCCCAGAUAAAUGGCUGCCUCGCCCUAGAGAAAUCUCGGGCAAGACAGAAUCCGGCUUAAUGUGCAGAACAUGGA